UACAGAGGUCUCAAGCGUUGUUCGGAUUCAUUGGGCGUAAAGGGUGCGUAGGCGGCGCGGUAAGUCGGGUGUGAAAUCUCGGGGCUUAACUCCGAAACUGCAUUCGAUACUGCCGUGCUUGAGGACUGGAAAGGAGACUGGAAUUUACGGUGUAGCGGUGAAAUGCGUAGAUAUCGUAAGGAAGACCAGUGGCGAAGGCGGGUCUCUGGACAGUUCCUGACACUGAGGCACGAAGGCCAGGGGAGCAAACGGG
rnacentral:rRNA from 1 species